CAUGCUAAACAUAGCGUUACUGCACCGAAUCCCAUUAGAACUCUGCAGUUAAGCACACUUAGGCUAGAGUAGUACUGGGAUGGGUGACCGCCUAGGAACUCCUAGUGUUUUACAUGC
rnacentral:rRNA from 1 species